rnacentral:rRNA from 1 species
UACGGGGGGGCAAGCGUUGUUCGGAAUUACUGGGCGUAAAGGGCUCGUAGGUGGCCAACUAAGUCAGACGUGAAAUCCCUCGGCUUAACCGGGGAACUGCGUCUGAUACUGGAUGGCUUGAGUUCGGGAGAGGGAUGCGGAAUUCCAGGUGUAGCGGUGAAAUGCGUAGAUAUCUGGAGGAACACCGGUGGCGAAGGCGGCAUCCUGGACCGACACCGACACUGAGGAGCGAAAGCCAGGGGAGCAAACGGG